GAGCCUGGAGGACACGGCCGGUCCAUCUGCUUGGGCUUGGAAAACUUUUUCUUUUUAAUUACUUCUCCUAGCCGGAGCGCUAGGGUUGCUAGGCGCGGGGCUGGCGCUGCUACCCGGCUCUGAGCCGCCAGUGUUUUCCUGCGGGACGGGCCGAGCUGGAUUCCAGGGCUGGGCGAGGGCUAAAAAUAACAGCCUGUGGCAGGAUAGCACCAAGGCACAGGCUGCUGCGAGUGUCCUGUCCCGAGCAUGUACACCUGGUCUGCUGUGCAGAGUUGCUGUUUCCAGAACAGGCAGCAAGAAUGUGACCUCUUCGGAGGGGAGGAAACCGCCAGAGGCUCUCCAGUAAGCAGAGGAGUAAGGCCAGGGAGAAAGCGGAGUGUGCAAGCCAGGGGGAGAGCCGCCACCGCAACCCGGCCAUGCAGGCGCCCUCAUCUGCACCUUCCAGCCUCCAGAACUGCGGGAAAAUGAAUUGCUGUUGUUUAAGCCGCCCA